CUACGGGAGGCUGCAGUGGGGAAUAUUGCACAAUGGGCGCAAGCCUGAUGCAGCCAUGCCGCGUGUAUGAAGAGGGCCUUCGGGUUGUAAAGUACUUUCAGCGGGGAGGAAGGGAGUAAAGUUAAUACCUUUGCUCAUUGACGUUACCCGCAGAUGAAGCACCGGCUAACUCCGUGCCAGCAGCCGCGGUAAUACGGAGGGUGCAAGCGUUAAUCGGAAUUACUGGGCGUAAAGCGCACGCAGGCGGUUUGUUAAGUCAGAUGUGAAAUCCCCGGGCUCAACCUGGGAACUGCAUCUGAUACUGGCAAGCUUGAGUCUCGUAGAGGGGGGUAGAAUUCCAGGUGUAGCGGUGAAAUGCGUAGAGAUCUGGAGGAAUACCGGUGGCGAAGGCGGCCCCCUGGACGAAGACUGACGCUCAGGUGCGAAAGCGUGGGGAGCAAACAGGAUUAGAUACCCGGGUAGUC
rnacentral:rRNA from 1 species